rnacentral:rRNA from 1 species
UACGUAGGGGGCGAGCGUUGUCCGGAAUUACUGGGCGUAAAGCGCACGUAGGUGGUCCGUCAAGUUCGGCGUGAAAUCUCCCGGCUUAACUGGGAGGGUGCGGCGGAGACUGGAGUGCUAGAGUGUGGGAGAGGUAAGCGGAAUUCCUGGUGUAGCGGUGAAAUGCGUAGAUAUCAGGAGGAACACCUGUGGUGUAGACAGCUUACUGGACCACGACUGACGCUGAGACACGAAAGCGUGGGUAGCAAACAGG